rnacentral:tmRNA from 1 species
GCUCUUUAAAUCUUCACACAUUGCGCCUAUAUUAGUUUUGUUCCUUCGGGGACUAUGGUGAUAAACGCGCAUGUAAUACACGGAUCGGACCCGGGGGCGGUACCCGGCGACUCCACCAAAAAUCCCUUCAUUU